rnacentral:rRNA from 1 species
CUACGGGGUGCUGCAGUGGGGAAUAUUGCACAAUGGGCGAAAGCCUGAUGCAGCAACGCCGUGUGAGUGAUGACGGUCUUCGGAUUGUAAAACUCUGUCCUAAGGGAAGAAACAAAUGACGGUACCUUAGGAGGAAGCCCCGGCUAACUACGUGCCAGCAGCCGCGGUAAUACGUAGGGGGCAAGCGUUAUCCGGAAUCACUGGGCGUAAAGGGUGCGUAGGCGGCUUAGCAAGCCAGGGGUGAAAGGCAUUGGCUCAACCAAUGUAAGCCUUUGGAACUGUUAGGCUUGAGUGCAGGAGAGGUAAGUGGAAUUCCUAGUGUAGAGGUGAAAUUCGUAGAUAUUAGGAGGAACACCAGUGGCGAAGGCGACUUACUGGACUGUAACUGACGCUGAGGCACGAAAGCGUGGGGAGCGAACAGGAUUAGAUACCCGAGUAGUC